GACAAACCUGGCUGUUCCAUGGAAAGAGGUAAAACAUUCUGCAUUGGCUGAGUUAAGAGAUUACACUGAACCAAGCAAGUUUAGGGAUAUGGCAGUUGUCUUCACUUUUGUUUCCUGUCAUUGUUGUUGAGGGUUACCUUGCGAUUUAACCAACAUCCUGAUUACAAGGCAAGUACAAGGGAGGUCU
rnacentral:lncRNA from 1 species